GAUGAACGCUGGCGGCGUGCUUAACACAUGCAAGUCGAACGGGAAACCUUUUAUUGAAGCUUCGGCAGAUUUAGCUGGUUUCUAGUGGCGGACGGGUGAGUAACGCGUGGGUAACCUGCCUUAUACAGGGGGAUAACAACCAGAGAUGGUUGCUAAUACCGCAUAAGCGCACAGGACCGCAUGGUCCGGUGUGAAAAACUCCGGUGGUAUAAGAUGGACCCGCGUUGGAUUAGCUAGUUGGCAGGGUAACGGCCUACCAAGGCGACGAUCCAUAGCCGGCCUGAGAGGGUGAACGGCCACAUUGGGACUGAGACACGGCCCAGACUCCUACGGGAGGCAGCAGUGGGGAAUAUUGCACAAUGGGGGAAACCCUGAUGCAGCGACGCCGCGUGAAGGAAGAAGUAUCUCGGUAUGUAAACUUCUAUCAGCAGGGAAGAUAGUGACGGUACCUGACUAAGAAGCCCCGGCUAACUACGUG
rnacentral:rRNA from 1 species